UACGGGGGGGGCAAGCGUUGUUCGGAAUUACUGGGCGUAAAGGGCUCGUAGGCGGCCAACUAAGUCGGAUGUGAAAUCCCCAGGCUUAACCUGGGAACUGCAUCCGAUACUGGAUGGCUUGAAUCCGGGAGAGGGAUGCGGAAUUCCAGGUGUAGCGGUGAAAUGCGUAGAUAUCGUUUGGAACGCCAACGGUGAAGACAGACAGCUGGGAGUGUGCUGACGCUGAGACACGAAAGCCAGGGGAGCGAACGGG
rnacentral:rRNA from 1 species